GACGAACGCUGGCGGCGUGCUUAACACAUGCCAGUCGAACGGAAAGGCCCUGCUUUUGUGGGGUGCUCGAGUGGCGAACGGGUGAGUAACACGUGAGUAACCUGCCCUUGACUUUGGGAUAACUUCAGGAAACUGGGGCUAAUACCGGAUAGGAGCUCCUGCUGCAUGGUGGGGGUUGGAAAGUUUCGGCGGUUGGGGAUGGACUCGCGGCUUAUCAGCUUGUUGGUGGGGUAGUGGCUUACCAAGGCUUUGACGGGUAGCCGGCCUGAGAGGGUGACCGGCCACAUUGGGACUGAGAUACGGCCCAGACUCCUACGGGAGGCAGCAGUGGGGAAUAUUGCACAAUGGGCGGAAGCCUGAUGCAGCAACGCCGCGUGCGGGAUGACGGCCUUCGGGUUGUAAACCGCUUUCGCCUGUGACGAAGCGUGUGUGACGGUAAUGGGUAAAGAAGCACCGGCUAACUACGUG
rnacentral:rRNA from 1 species